AUGACGGUCGUUCACAAAAAUGUGUCGCUUAGAAAGUGUCAGCAGAGGGCGUCAGAGAUGAACAGGUUAAAGUUACAAAGGAAUUCAACCUCUCACGCUUUUUCUCAGGGCUCUGCGUCUGAGAGUGAUGACGAUGACAAGUGCAAGAAAGACAAAGCAAAGGAGGGUGGUGCAUCAGCUGAAUGGAUUUGUGGCAGAGAUUUUCCUGAAGGAAUGGAAGCUGGAAACCUGAGUGAUGACGAGAGAGAAGGAGGCAAGGAGAAAGAGAAGAAGAAGAAGUUGAAGAAGAAGAAGGACUUUGGCUGUUCAUCAUCCUCUUCAUCAUCUUCAUCCUCGGAAAGCUCUUCCUCUUCAGACAGCGAGGAUGACAAAAAGAAGAAGAAGAAGAAGAAGAAGAAGAAAGCUGAGGAUUCCAGUUCUUCAUCCUCCUCCUCCUCGUCUUCAUCCUCCUCUUCAUCCUCUUCUGAUAGUGAGGAGGAAAAUAAGAAGAAGAAGAAGAAGAAGAAGAAGAAGGAGUCUAGUUCUUCAUCCUCUGAAAGCUUCUCCUCCUCUGACAGCGAUGAUGACAAAAAGAAAAAGAAGAAGAAGAUGAAGAAGAAGAAAAAGGAUUCCAGCUCUGAUGAUUCAGAUAGCGAGAAAGACAGGAAGAAGAAGAAGAAGAAGAAGAAGAAGAAGACAAAGGGUUCCUGCUCAUCAGACAGCGAAGGCGAUAAGAAGAAGAAGAAGAAGAAGAAGAAGAAGGGCGAUUCUGACAGCGAGGAAGACAAGAAGAAAAAGAAGAAGAAGGACAAGAAGAAAAAGAAGAAGAAGGAUGAGGACUCUGACAGCGAGGAAGACAAGAAAAAGAAGAAGAAGAAGGAGGACAAGAAGAAAAAGAAGAAGAAGGAUAAGGACUCUGACAGCGAGGAAGACAAGAAGAAAAAGAAGAAAAAGAAGAAGAAGGAUUCUGGUUCUGACAGCGAGGAAGAUAAGAAGAAGAAAGGCAAGAAGAAGGAUAAGAAGAAGGGCAAGAAGAAGGAUAAGAAGAAGAAGAAGAAAGACAAGAAGAAGAAAAAGGUAAGUAACACAAAUCUAUUUGGGAGUUAUUUAUGA
rnacentral:lncRNA from 13 species